GAUUACGGCAAUACCACACAGACAACGCCCGAUCUCGUCUGAUCUCGGAAGUUAAGCAGAGUUGGGCUGGGUCAGUACUUGGAUGGGUGACCGCCUGGGAAUACCCGGUGCUGUAAGCA
ensembl:rRNA 5S_rRNA 5S ribosomal RNA